rnacentral:rRNA from 1 species
CCCUUAGAUGCUCUGGGCCGCACGCGCGCUACACUGGUCGAUGCAACGAGUUUCUUUCCUUGGCCGACAGGCCUGGGCAAUCUUUGAACAUCGAUCGUGAUCGGGAUAGAUUCUUGUAAUUUUUGAUCUUAAACGAGGAAUUCCUAGUAAACGCAAGUCAUCAGCUUGCAUUGAUUACGUCCCUACCCUUUGUACACACCGCCCGUCGCACCUACCGAUUGAAUGGUCCGGUGAAAUCUCCGGACUGGCGUGAGUCGGAGCAAUCUGACAAACGCCGGAAAGUUGAUUAAACCUUACCAUUUAGAGGAAGGUGAAGUCGUAACA